GCACUCUUAGCUCAACUGGAUAGAGCACACGCCUUCUAAGCGUGGGGUUUUGUAGGUUCAAGUCCUACAGGGUGCA
rnacentral:tRNA from 1 species